rnacentral:lncRNA from 12 species
AAAAACAUUCAAAAUUUUUUACAAAUAUUAUUUGUGUAUACCAUCAGUUAGUAGUGAUAUUAUAUAUAAUACUACAGUUUUGACAUUUGUUGCUCUGGAGCCCAGCAUUGUUUAUCAUCUAGUGUUUGUAAUUUGUCCUGUUGCUCUGUUUGUUUCCUCGCUAUUGUAGAGCCGUGCACGUAUUUGCGUGCGCUGUCAUGGUGAAGGCCGUGCGCGUAUGUUUGUGCUGCUCAUGAAAACAAAUGGGAGAGAAAACAAAACAGAAAAAGCAGCAUGCACACACACCUGUGCAUUAUAUGCAAAAAAGAGUUGCGCAGGAACAUAAGUUUACGCGACAUGCACACAUGCAUACUUUGUCUUUCACACAGACAAGCGCGCAUUUACUACGCAAACAUUACGUAGGAAAAUAUGCUCACUGUCCCUCACACACACAUACACACAGAGCUCUGACAACAGCGUGUGUGUGCACUCAAAUGGGCUAUUAACUAUUGUGCUGUAACUACGGCGACCAGAGAGAUCAACGUAACACGAUCUAUUAACUACUGCCAGGAGACGCAGAGGAAAAAAAGCGUCUGUCGCACUCUUCUUCUUUGUGUUUACAGAACUCUGUUGCAGCUUUGAAAUGCCUGUCUGUCUCUCUGCCUGUCUGUCUGUCUCUCUCUUUCUGUCACUGUCGGUCUCUGCCAGCCUCUUUUCAUUUCUUUUUCUGUCUCUCACUUUGCCUGUCUGUUUCUCAGCCUCUGUCUGUCACUUUCUGUUUCUUGUUCUUUCAGUCUCUCUCUGCCUGUCUUCCUGUUUCUUAGGGUCUCUCUCUCAGCUUGUCCAUUCUACAUUGUACAGUCUAUGCCUGUCAAUUUCAGUAUAUUUUUCUGUAUCUCUCUCUGCCUGUCUGUCUCUCACUUUGUGGUCUUAUGGUCUGUCUUUCUCACUUUGUCUGUCUGUCUCCAUCGGUCUCUCUAUCUUUUUCUCUCAAAACAUGUCAAAUUCAAAUUCAGGAUCUUACCUUUCUGCCUGCUUUCUUUCUGUUCUUCAGCCUGUCUACAUCUCCAGGGCCGUCGUCACGCCAUGCUUUUCCUUACGCCUCUCGUCGGCCUGA